GCUCCAUGUAGUGCUUGGAUACAUCAUUUUCCUGGGCCUGGAUGCUUUCUUGUAGAGGGGUCACCCGCAGCCUCUUGGCAGCAAAAUCCGUCAGGGCAGGGUCCAGAGAAGAGCUGUAUUUGCCUGCCUGCAGCUCAUAGUCAUUGAGGGUGGACUGCACAUUCCGGGACAGCCUGAUCACGGCGUUCUUCUCGGGCUCCUUGCUUUCAAUCUCCUCCAGCACUCUCUUCUGUGCCUGCAGCUUGUAAUUGAUCUGGCUUGGCCCAUCUGUGGUCUUCACUUGGUGCUUGGGUAGGUUGUUCAUCC
rnacentral:lncRNA from 1 species